UUCCCAUCUGUAGAGGUAGAGGCUGGGGCUAUCUAUUGGCACUGAUAAUUGUCAAUGGAAUCCCACUCAUAGCCUACACUCUUCAGGAGAAAAAGGGCCAUUUGAUGACAAUUGGACUCCUACAGAGAAGAUGAUGUCCUGUCCAGCUGGUGUGUUGCCUUGCAUUUGCUCCACAUAACAACCAAGAUAACCAAGUGCAAGCUAUUUAUUGAGUACCUGCAGCAUACCAGGCACUGGAUCGUCUUCAGGUUAACGGCUCUCCAGCUCCUUUGGAAACAGCCCAGAUGUGUGGCUAUAUCGGGGGACCCAUAUUGACAAGACUCCAGCAAAACUGCAGUCAAAGGGGCAGCUGAAAACUAGUUCAAAGCAGAUGGUCAGCUUGAUGGAGCCUGCACCACCAUGCUGGCAGCACACUGGCUGGUGACAUCAGUUUUAUUAAUUGGGGACGGAAGGAAUCAGCUCAGGCUCCAGGCGGCUGGAAGCCGUGAGGAUCUGUGUGGCGCAAGAACACAGGAGGCCCCACUCAGCAGUGGUUUUUCUUCUCUGACAGGUCUUCCUUCAGCCUAAAGACUUCCUGCCCACUCCCACCUCCCUGCCGACUCCCCACAGACUCCAACCCCAUUUGUCUGAGUCCUUCCUCGUCACUUAUUUUUAGUCUUGUCAGGGGAUGAUCCACUGCUCACUGGGGAAGUGGAGUCAAGGAAAGGAAAACAUCUCAGCCUCAAGAACUAGAGGUUCUGUUGUGGUGUGUUCCCACCAUCUGCUCACUCUGGGUUCCCAUGGCCAGGCCCAUCCUGGCUGGGGCUCCGGGACAGGAGAGGUUGUACUGGGUGGAAGGCCAGCACCCUGGGGUGCCGCCUGUAGCAUGGGGAGGAAGUGUGAAAACCAGAUAGAGAACAAGCAUAUAACCAGGGUGAGCAGUCAUGAGCCCUGGGUGAGAGUCCUAGACCCAACGUCACUGUAAUUCCCUGGCCCCUGACUCCUUGUCUGUGGAAUGGACAUAACAGUGGACAUUCCCACCUCCCUGGGCUAUUGAGAAAAUCAGGUGAGAAAAUGGAUGUGGCUGUACGAGGCAAACUUAAAGUAUACUUCAAAAAUGAAGGCUAUUAUUAAGAACCGGUGCAAGAUUGGGAAUGUAAAACUGGCCCAAGUUUAAGGCCAGGCCUGGACGGCAGAAG